CCUUUGAUAGCUCAGCUGGUAGAGCUAGAGGACUGGUAGAUCUGCCUGUAGAAAAUAAUCCUUAGGUCACUGGUUCAAUUCCAGCUUGAAGGA
rnacentral:tRNA from 1 species